UACGUAGGGUGCAAGCGUUGUCCGGAAUUAUUGGGCGUAAAGAGCUCGUAGGCGGUUUGUCGCGUCGAAUGUGAAAACCCGGGGCUCAACCCCGGGCCUGCAUUCGAUACGGGCAGACUAGAGUUCGGUAGGGGGAGUCUGGAAUUCCUGGGUGUAGCGGUGAAAUGCGCAGAUAUCAGGAGGAACACCGGUGGCGAAGGCGGGACUCUGGGCCGAUACUGACGCUGGAGGAGCGAAAGCGUGGGGAGCGAACAGG
rnacentral:rRNA from 1 species